UCCUCGGUAGUAUAUCGGCUAGUACACCCGCCUGUCAUAGCGCAAACGCGGGAGAGCGGGGUUCGACUCCCCGCCGAGGAG
rnacentral:tRNA from 1 species